UCGGAAGGUGCGGCUGGAUCACCUCCUUUCUAAGGAAAACGUCCCUUACGGGACAUGCCCAUCGUUCAGUUUUGAGAGUCCGAUCUCUCAAUUGAGCAACCCAUUUUGAAUGGGCCUAUAGCUCAGCUGGUUAGAGCGCACGCCUGAUAAGCGUGAGGUCGGUGGUUCGAGUCCACUUAGGCCCACCAUUCAAUUUUAUAAUCUCAUGGGGCCUUAGCUCAGCUGGGAGAGCGCCUGCCUUGCACGCAGGAGGUCAGCGGUUCGAUCCCGCUAGGCUCCAUUUGUCUUUUCCUAACGGAGAAGGCACUCGCACCUUGAAAACUGAAGACAUCAACAAGACAUCAAACUUUUUAUAACCAUGUCAUUAGACGUGUGUUCUUAGAAUACCAAAAUGCUAGAUCAAGGUAUGAAGGGCGUAC
rnacentral:misc_RNA from 1 species